ensembl:lncRNA
AACCGGGUAGGCCAGUUGAGAACACCUUUAUUUAACCAGGUAGGCUAGUUGAGAACACCUUUAUUUAACCAGGUAGGCUAGUUGAGAACACCUUUAUUUAACCAGGUAGGCCAGUUGAGAACACCUUUAUUUAACCAGGUAGGCUAGUUGAGAACACCUUUAUUUAACCAGGUAGGCCAAUUGAGAACACCUUUAUUUAACCAGGUAGGCUAGUUGAGAACACCUUUAUUUAACCAGGUAGGCUAGUUGAGAACACCUUUAUUUAACCAGGUAGGCUAGUUGAGAACACCUUUAUUUAACCAGGUAGGCUAGCUGAGAACACCUUUAUUUAACCAGGUAGGCCAGUUGAGAAC